rnacentral:rRNA from 1 species
ACGCUCGACACCUACUGGAGGCAGCAGUGGGGAAUAUUGCACAAUGGGGGAAACCCUGAUGCAGCGACGCCGCGUGAGCGAAGAAGUAUUUCGGUAUGUAAAGCUCUAUCAGCAGGGAAGAAACUGACGGUACCUGACUAAGAAGCACCGGCUAAAUACGUGCCNNNCGCGUAGUACUGAGNGGCGUGNGAG